rnacentral:snoRNA from 1 species
UUACAUGAUGAAUAAGAGCUUUGCUCGAUAAUCCCAGCUCGUCGAUGGCCUCAUAUAUAUUAUAAUCCAACCAGAGGUCACAUGAGAUGAAGUCCCGUCUGAUUAG